UCGAGGUGGCACAUUCGGGCACCUACCAGUGCGUGGCCACCAACCAGCUGGGACAGGACGGGCACCGCGUGUUCCAUGCACUCACCCCCGAGCUGGCCCUGGAGGUGACACCUGGCUCUCCCUGGCUCACAGGUGGGGUCCCACGGGGUCACUGGGCUGUUCAGGACCCCCGAGGCUCAGGGUGACCCCGGUGUGUCCCCCUCUGUCCCCAGCAGUGGCUGUGAAUGUCGGCAGGACCCUCCUGUUCCUGCUCCUGCUCCUGGCUGUCGUCGGGGGCUGUCUCUGGUGGCACCGCCGGGCUGCCAGGAAGCUCCAGGACAGGUCCCCACAACCAGUGUCACUCUCAGGGCCCCCACGGGUGUCCCCUGGCCCUGCCCCACCUCGGGAUCCACGAGUGACCAACGCGGAGCUGCCGGGACCCUACAAGGGACAGAGGGACCCCCGUGACAACAAGAUCGUGUUGUGACACUGGGGGCACUGGGAAGAGAAAUGUUUUGACAGGUUUUCAUUUUGGAUUCUUUGUGUGCUUUCCUUUCUGGUAUUUUUUUCCCUCUUUAAUAAAAGUAUAGUACUAGUAUCUUCAUAAA